UAGGGUAUAAUUAAAGAAUAAUGACUCUCUUACACUGAGUAAUUGUCCGUUCAAAUCGAACUACUCUAA
rnacentral:tRNA from 1 species